rnacentral:rRNA from 1 species
UACGGGGGGGGCAAGCGUUGUUCGGAAUUACUGGGCGUAAAGGGCUCGUAGGCGGCCAACUAAGUCAGACGUGAAAUCCCUCGGCUUGACCGGGGAACUGCGUCUGAUACUGGAUGGCUUGAGUUCGGGAGAGGGAUGCGGAAUUCCAGGUGUAGCGGUGAAAUGCGUAGAUAUCUGGAGGAACACCGGUGGCGAAGGCGGCAUCCUGGACCGACACUGACGCUGAGGAGCGAAAGCCAGGGGAGCAAACGGG